rnacentral:rRNA from 1 species
GAUGAACGCUGGCGGCGUGCCUAAUACAUGCAAGUCGAGCGAACAGACGAGGAGCUUGCUCCUCUGACGUUAGCGGCGGACGGGUGAGUAACACGUGGAUAACCUACCUAUAAGACUGGGAUAACUUCGGGAAACCGGAGCUAAUACCGGAUAAUAUAUUGAACCGCAUGGUUCAAUAGUGAAAGACGGUUUUGCUGUCACUUAUAGAUGGAUCCGCGCCGCAUUAGCUAGUUGGUAAGGUAACGGCUUACCAAGGCAACGAUGCGUAGCCGACCUGAGAGGGUGAUCGGCCACACUGGAACUGAGACACGGUCCAGACUCCUACGGGAGGCAGCAGUAGGGAUUCUUCCGCAAUGGGCGAAAGCCUGACGGAGCAACGCCGCGUGAGUGAUGAAGGUCUUCGGAUCGUAAAACUCUGUUAUUAGGGAAGAACAAAUGUGUAAGUAACUAUGCACGUCUUGACGGUACCUAAUCAGAAAGCCACGGCUAAUUACGUG